rnacentral:lncRNA from 1 species
UAUCACCCCAACUACUUGGGUUGUUUUCUCUUACAACAUCCUGCAAAGUCUAGCACAUAAAAGCCCAGGCCAUGACAGCAGUAGUAACCUCAUGCGGACCAGAGGAACGUAGACUCUCGCUUCAAUACUACCGAGUGAAAGAACAUCAUGUUCUCAUUGGCGUAUGCAUCUCUACUGGUUUCUGCUUCUGUGCUACUGGUGCAAGGGGGUGUGAUCUCCACAACCAUUUGCGAGUUGCAAGGUAAAACAUACCGUGACCAAGAGAGAUUCCAGCCCGAGCCAUGUAUGUCCUGUAUAUGUGACAAUGGAAUCAGCAAGUGUGUUACGGCCCCCUGCGCCCCGGUGAAAGGCUGUCCCUUUCCAGAGGUCGUCCCUAAAGGCAAAUGCUGCCCUGUCUGCCCAUGGUUUGUACAUUCACAGAUGGAAUCCUUUCCAAAUGUUCCUAAAGCCCUCAACUCCGUAAGUUUGCUCUCUCAGUCCUUAAAGUAACACUAUGCAACAAUUUGACACUUUUUGAGAUAAGGUUUUAUAAGCAACUAGUUUAGGGAACCAUCCUCAAAUUAAUUUUGAUAGCAUAUGAUCAUGUGAAUGACAGAUAAACACAUGUGUCUUCCCCACUAGCCAUCCAGGACAUGCCCUAUGUAGUUCUGUGUAACGGGCUGGUACACUCUGCAAAAAGGAAGAAAGGCUUUCACACGCAUGACAUUUCCAGCUAAACUGCCAAAAGACACC